rnacentral:rRNA from 1 species
UCUGACGGANCACGCCGCGUGAGUGAUGAAGGUUUUCGGAUCGUAAAACUCUGUUGUUAGGGAAGAACAAGUACCGUUCGAAUAGGGGGGUCCCUUGACGGUACCUAACCAGAAAGCCACGGCUAACUACGUGCCAGCAGCCGCGGUAAUACGUAGGKGGCAAGCGUUGUCCGGAAUUAUUGGGCGUAAAGCGCGCGCAGGCGGUUUCUUAAGUCUGAUGUCAAAGCCCCCGGCUCAACCGGGGAGGGUCAUUGGAAACUGGGGAACUUGAGUGCAGAAGAGGAGAGUGGAAUUCCACGUGUAGCGGUGAAAUGCGUAGAGAUGUGGAGGAACACCAGUGGCGAAGGCGACUCUCUGGUCUGUAACUGACGCUGAGGCGCGAAAGCGUGGGGAGCGAACAGGAUUAGAUACCCUGGUAGUCCACCGCCGUAACGAUAAGGGGCUAAGUGGUUAGAGGGUUCCCCCCUUUAGUGCUGCAGCAAACGCAUAGC